rnacentral:rRNA from 1 species
UUUGAGGAGCCCGCGGCCUAUCAGCUUGUUGGUGAGGUAACGGCUCACCAAGGCAUUGACGGGUAGCUGGUCUGAGAGGACGACCAGUCACACUGGGACUGAGACACGGCCCAGACACCUACGGGUGGCAGCAGUCGAGAAUUUUUCUCAAUGGGGGAAACCCUGAAGGAGCGACGCCGCGUGGAGGAUGAAGGUCUUCGGGUUGUAAACUCCUGUCAUUUGGGAACAAGGUGUGCGCGUUAACUGCGCGCGCAUUGAUAGUACCAGAAGAGGAAGAGACGGCUAACUCUGUGCCAGCAGCCGCGGUAAUACAGAGAGUCUCAAGCGUUGUUCGGAUUCAUUGGGCGUAAAGGGUGCGUAGGCGGCGCGGUAAGUCGGGUGUGAAAUUUCUAGGCUUAACUUCCAAACUGCAUUCGAUACUGCCGUGCUUGAGGACUGGAGAGGAGACUGGAAUUUUACGGUGUAGCGGUGAAAUGCGUAGAUAUCGUAAGGAAGACCAGUGGCGAAGGCGGGUCUCUGGACAGUUCCUGACGCUGAGGCACGAAGGCCAGGGGAGCAAACGGGAUUAGAUACCCCGGUAGUCCUGGCAAUAAACGGUGCACGUUUGGUGUGGGAGGAUUCGACCCCUUCUGCGCCGGAGCUAACGCGUUAAACGUGCCGCCUGGGGAGUACGGUCGCAAGAUUAAAACUCAAAGAAAUUGACGGGGGCCCGCACAAGCGGUGGAGUAUGUGGCUUAAUUCGAUGCAACGCGAAGAACCUUACCUGGCCUUGACAUGCAUCUCUAAGCUGGUGAAAGCCAGUGAGUCCCGAAAGGGACAAUUUGCACAGGUGCUGCAUGGCUGUCGUCAGCUCGUGUCGUGAGAUGUUGGGUUAAGUCCCGCAACGAGCGCAACCCCUGUGAACUGUUGCCACCGGCCCGUGAGGGUCGAGCACUCUGUUCAGACUGCC